GCCGACGUAGCUCAGUGGUAGAGCAACUGAUUCGUAAUCAGUAGGUCCGCGGUUCAAAUCCGCGCGUCGGCACCA
rnacentral:tRNA from 1 species